UUUCCGUAGGUGAACCUGCGGAAGGAUCAUUAGUGAAUUGGUUAUGUUAGCGGACCUCUUCGUAGUCCCUUGCAUCAACACAUAUCCAUAACACCUGUGUACUGUAAGGCUGUCUUGAUAACGAAAGUGAUUAGAGCGCCUGCCCAUUUUAUACAAACAUUAAAGUACCAUACGUAGUCUUAUUAUAAUCUAAAAAAACUUUCAACAACGGAUCUCUUGGCUCUC
rnacentral:misc_RNA from 1 species